rnacentral:lncRNA from 1 species
CGUGGCAGGCAGCGUGGGCGACCCACCGGUCUGCUGUCGCUUCAAUGGUGCGAGCACGUGGCUUGGGGCUCGGGAGGGGAAGAUUUCGCCGUCUCCCUCCAGCCAGGAUCCGCGGAUCCUGCUCUUCCUCGACGAGGCCGCUUCCUCCAUGGGGGGCCGAUGCAAUUCUGUGUUCCCUGUGUGGAAUCGGACAUCGGGCCAUAAGAGGGCCGAGAGUGGUCGGCCCGCGGUGGGGCCCGGUGGGCCACCGUUUUUGUCGGCUUGCGACGAGAGGCGGAAGACAACAAGGAAGGCUUUUGGAAUCUUCCUCCUCCGGGCCCACCUACCGAGAGAGGCAUUCAUUGGCUGACCCCAGCGCAGCGGGUCCCACGGCCUACUUUUAACCUGGUCUGAUGUGAUGCCGUCCUCCCAAGCUUCGAUUGCUUUAGGAAUCAAACAAAGG